GCUGGAACCCCCCCCCCCCCCAGGCUACAGGGUCUCCCAAGCCCUGGGGAAGUCGCCAAGCCGCUCGUUCGCCCCAUCCAGCCCACAGCGACGCCCCUCGAGGGCUGGGUCUGUCCCCGCUCCGGGAAGCCGGGCUGGGCCCCGCCUUCGCAACAGCCUGGAAGGCGAGGUACCAGACCACACAGGCCGCUUCUGCCGAGGCACUUCCCGGGGCCCGACUGGAGGAAGUGUCCCCGCCGCCAGGCCUGGCGCAAGGCCGCGGCCACACCGCCACCAGGAGGGGUCGCGCCGCCUGCUCUGCCCGCGCCCCCCGCCCCGCCCCAGCCCGUUGGCCCGACCCUGCGCGGGGUAAUUGGGGCGGGAGGGAGGCGAGCGGCGGGCGGCGGCUCCAGAGAGACUGCGCGCCUGUCAGCCGCAAUUUGUUUAAGUGGACGGGACAGGCCGGGCCGCUGCGGGCUGGGGUCACCGAGGCCGCGGCCCCCACCCCAGCCAGACCCGGGACCGCGGGGGAGCCCAUCUCGGCCGCUAAACCGGGCUGGCUGGCGCCAAGGCUCCGGGAGGCGCGGGGCCCUCGGAGAGGCCGGGGAUGGGAAGCAGAGCGUGUUGGCGGGGACGUCGAAAGGGCUACACGUGCGCCUGCGGCCCCGGACUGUCACACACAGGGCCACGCGCGGCCUGUGCCACCGCCGCGGGGUACCAGCCUCGCGCCAGCGCCCGGUUGGUUACUCGGGCUUGCAUCGAGUCCUUGGCCACACGCCCCCAGGAGCUCCCGCCAUCCCCUCCACGGGUCACGCAAACCCACGCCCAGCCACACAGGCGAGGACACCAGCGGGGACCCCGGCGACUCUGAAGCCCAACUCCCGGGACGGUCUCAGCCAGACCCUUGACCCCGAGAGACGAGGCAGGGCCCAAGGACCGGCGGGCAGCAGGCGCGGGAAGAGGACCGCGGCCCCACUGAGUCCGGGCCGCCCUCGCCUCAUGUCCUCGUUGCGGGAAGCGCGGAGCGGGCCGACCGUGCGCAACGAGACUGAGGUCGCGAGGCCGCGCCCGUCCGACGCCCCAGGCCGGGACCGCCCGGGAGAGGGAGGGGCGGCUGAGCGCGCGUCCUCCGCCCGUCUGCGGGGCCCGGCCGAUGCGAAGUGA
rnacentral:lncRNA from 1 species